CCCUACGGGGGGCAGCAGUGGGGAAUUUUGGACAAUGGGGGCAACCCUGAUCCAGCCAUGCCGCGUGCGGGAAGAAGGCCUUCGGGUUGUAAACCGCUUUCGGACGGAAAGAAAUCGCAUGGGCUAAUACCCUGUGUGGAUGACGGUACCGUAAGAAGAAGCACCGGCUAACUACGUGCCAGCAGCCGCGGUAAUACGUAGGGUGCGAGCGUUAAUCGGAAUUACUGGGCGUAAAGCGUGCGCAGGCGGUUUCUUAAGCCAGACGUGAAAUCCCCGGGCUUAACCUGGGAACUGCGUUUGGAACUGGGAGACUAGAGGGUGUCAGAGGGAGGUGGAAUUCCGCGUGUAGCAGUGAAAUGCGUAGAUAUGCGGAGGAACACCGAUGGCGAAGGCAGCCUCCUGGGAUAACACUGACGCUCAUGCACGAAAGCGUGGGGAGCAAACAGGAUUAGAUACCCCUGUAGUCA
rnacentral:rRNA from 1 species